rnacentral:sRNA from 2 species
CCGUCCCACAUUGGGGAGUAGCCGCUCCGCUCGACGUCCCGCACCACGCGGCGCACAUCGUGACGGAGGCGUCCGUCAACAGACUUGGCCGCAUGGCCAUGGCGGACGCAGCCACCGCAAGGCCUGGCGAGACCGAUGGUU